GUGCUCACUUCAGCACAUCUACUAAAAAUAGAAUCAUACAGAGACGAUUAACAUGGCCCCUGCACAGGGAUGACACACAAACUUGUGAAGCAUUAGGUAUUUAA